rnacentral:sRNA from 1 species
UGGUAGAUGCACCCUAAUAAAUUACAGCCCUUAGCCUAAAGCUGGGGGCUUUUAUU